UAACCUGGUUGAUCCUGCCAGUAGUCAUAUGCUUGUCUCAAAGAUUAAGCCAUGCAUGUUCCAGUAUGAGUUUUCAUAUAACGAAACUGCGAAGGGCUCAAUAAAUCGGUUGCUGCAGUUAAAACGCUCGUAGUUGUUGUCCAACUAUAGAUUCCAUUUGCUUAUGCGAAAGGAGUUAGUAGUUUUGCUGAAACAUUGUUUCGGCCAAAACCUUGAGGAAAGAUUAGUGUUCCACGCAGUUAUUCUUGUCCUCCCCAGCAUGGUAUUCAAUGCAAACGAAAGAGAUUGCCGAGUCUCCAUCAAUAUAAAUAGAAAUUCAAGGGGGUAUACGUACUUUAAUAUCAGAGGUGAAAUUCCUAGAUUUUUAAAAGACGAUCAACUGCGAAAGCAUUCACCAAGCGACUUUUCUUUGAUCAAGAACGAAAGUUAGGGGAUUGAAGACGAUCAGAUACCGUCGUAAUCUUAACCGUAAACUAUGCCGACUUGUCGCAGGUAGAUAACUUCUUCGUGUUUAGCGUCGACUUUUGAGAAAUCAAAGUUUUUGGGUUCUGGGGGGAGUAUGAUUGCAAGAUUGAAACUUAAAGGAAUUGACGGAAGGGCACCACCAGGAGUGGAGCUUGCGGCUUAAUUUGACUCAACACGGGAAAUCUCACCAGCCCCACACAUAAAGAGGAUUGACAGUUUGAUAGUUCUUUCUUGAUUCUAUGGUUGGUGGUGCAUGGCCGUUCUUAGUUGGUGGAGUGAUCUGUCUGGUUAAUUCCGUAACGAACGAGAUCUUAACCUACUAAAUAGACAGCCCAAGGGCUUUCUUCUUAGAGGGACAUCUUGAUCGUAUAGAUCAAGGAAGUUUGAGGUAAUAACAGGUCUGUGAUGCCCA
rnacentral:rRNA from 1 species